UAAAUGGCUCCUCGUUGGGAGGAUUAAAUACAAUCUUUUGUUAAAGCAAUCUAUAGUGGCGUGAUACACCGCUAGCCAAUCCAUUCCUAGGAUUACAUCAAAAUCCCAUGUGUCUAACCCUAUCAGGUCUACCCUCAAUUUCCUAUCUGCUAUCUCCACGACACAUGCCCUGUAGACAACCUCUCCUAGCAAUGUCUCCCCUACUAGCAUGUAGGAGGCAAUGGCAGCCCUCUGCUCAGGAACUACUCCCAAGGUCUCGAAAGCUCUUUCAGUCUCUGCCAGCUAGUAUUGGGCCUCUUCAAAAGAGGAUCCCCCUGCAAAAGUAGAAGGGUUCAGUCUUCUGUACCUCUCUAUGAAGCCGGGGUCGAUCAAGGAAGUAGCGGGGUCCCGAGGUAGAGGAACUUGGGCCGGCUGAGGGUUAACUGGGGGACCCUGUGGUGGCACCUGCUGAUGUGGUGGGGGUACUGGAAUGUGCUGUGGCGACGCCUGCUGGUACCGUGGCUGUGGUACAGGGUCGUACCGCGGCUGUGGCGCCGGGUGGUACUGUGGAGGAACAGGCUCCUGCCGGGGUGGCUCGAGAUCAGCCUACUGUAGCGGGGGCUCAACCUGCGCUAGCGGAGGAGGUCCGGGUAACUCCCUUCUCUCCUCUUGCCUUUGCUGGGCAGUUACGAGAGCCUCCACCUUCCAGAACCGAAUUUUGCUGUUUCAUUUAGAGCUGUCUCCGUUUCACUGCUUGUUCUCUGUCAUAGGCAGUUUCAGGAGCACUUAAAUAUUAAAGCUGGUAUCAAUUGAUGGGUCUUAUGCAAGAGGAAGUGUCUUCCAAACAAACUUCAAC
rnacentral:lncRNA from 1 species